rnacentral:lncRNA from 1 species
GUGCAUUUUCGAUUCAAACAACAACAGAGAUGAUAUGCACACCUUUGUCCAUUAUCUGAAUCCCUGAGGUAUGGUUUUCUGAUUUCUUCCCAUUUUCACUCCUUUGAGAACUUAAUAUGCACAACCCUUGCUUGGUGCAGAGCUAUGUUGACUAAACUCAUUUGUACCUACAGAAUCUGUCGUGGGGCUUACUCUUUAAUUUUUUCUUUUCUUUUCUUUUCUUUUCUUUUCUUUCUUUCUUUCUUUUUUUUUUAAAGAAACUCACAAAAUUCAAAUAUCACUUUUAGGGGAGUUAAAAAAGUCUUGGUUUUCCAAUAGCACUGAAGUUGUUCUCUAACAUGAUCUAGAAGGCAUUUUGAUGGCUUUUUUUUUUAAAAAAAAAAACAGAUACAUAUUCCUUCUGUUAACCCUGGUUGCCUGGAAUACAACAUGGGCACAAAGAUCUCAGUACAGUUCACUCUUCCACUUGGGAUUCUAGCCAUCGUUCUAGCUCAGGGUCCUUGUGAUGGUUUGUAUAUGCUCAGCCCAGGGAAGGGCAGGAUUAGGAGGUGUGGCCCUGUUGGAGUAGGUUUGUCACUGUGGGAGUGGGUUACAAAAUUGUCAUUCUAGCUGCCUGGAAGUCAGUCUUCCACUAACAGUUUUAGUGCUAGAUGAAGAUUUAGAACUCUCAGUUCUGCCUGCCUAUUCAUGGACCAUUUGAGGGGCGCCUACUCCAUACUGCGGUGCUCAACAGUGAUGCUGUACAGAGGAGAAAAAAACUAGGAAGUCUUCCCACGAUUUAAAUAUGAGUGGAAGGUAAGGGGGGGCUAGUGGGGUAUGUGCAGUGGGAUUGGUUUCCGUGUGAUCCUCCUGUCCCAGCUGCUCAUGGGACUGGACACUGCUUCUAGCUAGCAGUUAAUCUGCUUGAGGAUGAAACUGUCCACACACACUGGAUGGCUUCAGGCGAUCGUGGCCCAGAUGAUGACAUGGGUUUGGAUUCCUUCCAUGAACAAAUGAAGCAGAAGAAAGCCUGUAUAGAGGAAGGAGUGGGGAAGCCUGGAAAUUUCCAAGUUUUGUUACUUGUUUCUUUUCAAGGCAUGUCUGUCUUUUCACUCUUUAAAUUCUUGAAGCAUUUCUCUAUCCUUCAAAUAACCACUUGUUGACAACAGAAAAAGACAGUGGGAGAAACCAAAGCACAGCUAUGACCAUUAUCUGCCCGCCCUUCAAGCUCUUACUACUUUUAUGAAAACUCAGAUCGCAUCAGCCCAUGAGAUACUGUCCCCUAGUUCCUGUAAAUGCUUACUACAUUUCCACUCACCUCUCUCGUCUCACUGUUCUCCCAGCAUGAGUUAUCUUCAUACAGAUCUGAGUGAAACCAUGCUUUUAAAACUCAUUCAUGGGUCCCAGUGCACCGAGCCUUUGCAGAUAAGACCUUCAAUGAAUAGUUAGAGUGAGACUAGGCUGAGUCAGGUUCACUAGUGAUUGAAUCUAAUAAAAUAGAACAUGGCUGUGUAGUAAAAAGUAAAGCAAGAUGCUAAAAUUAGCAUUAGGAGUAAUUCUCGAUUAUCCGCUGGUAUAGAAACAGUUUGAAGUGACAACCUCUCCUGAGAGUGAGUAAGCCAGGAUUAGCUAUCUCAAGAAGUUACAAUGUGUGACAUACUUAACGAAUUAAUUGAUUGCUGAGUACAGGAUGUAUGCUACGUAAUUUGGCUAUACAGAACCUACUCUAAGCUUCAUGUGUUAACAAUGAUCUAUACUAAGCACUUCCAUAUUUACAUCACCC